rnacentral:misc_RNA from 1 species
GAUGAAGAACGUAGCGAAAUGCGAUACUUGGUGUGAAUUGCAGAAUCCCGUGAACCAUUGAGUUUUUGAACGCAAGUUGCGCCCGAAGCCGUUAGGCCGAGGGCACGCCUGCCUGGGCGUCACACGUCGUUGCCCCCCCCAUCUACUCCUUCGGGAUUGCGGGGGGCGGAUGAUGGCCUCCCGUGCGCCUCGCCGCGCGGUUGGCAUAAAUGCCAAGUCCUCGGCGACGCACGCCACGACAAUCGGUGGUUGCGAAACCUCGGUUGCCCGUCGUGUGCGGUCGUCGCGCAUCGAGGGCUCGAAAAAAUUGCCGAGUUCCGGCUCGGCUUUCAACGCGACCCCAGGUCAGGCGGGGUUACCCGCUGAAUUUAAGCAUAUCAAUAAGCGGAGGA